CAAGUCGAACGGCAGCAUGAUCUAGCUUGCUAGAUUGAUGGCGAGUGGCGAACGGGUGAGUAAUACAUCGGAACGUGCCCUGUAGUGGGGGAUAACUAGUCGAAAGAUUAGCUAAUACCGCAUACGACCUGAGGGUGAAAGUGGGGGACCGCAAGGCCUCAUGCUAUAGGAGCGGCCGAUGUCUGAUUAGCUAGUUGGUGGGGUAAAGGCCCACCAAGGCGACGAUCAGUAGCUGGUCUGAGAGGACGAUCAGCCACACUGGGACUGAGACACGGCCCAGACUCCUACGGGAGGCAGCAGUGGGGAAUUUUGGACAAUGGGCGAAAGCCUGAUCCAGCAAUGCCGCGUGUGUGAAGAAGGCCUUCGGGUUGUAAAGCACUUUCGUCCGGAAAGAAAUGGCUCUGGUUAAUACCUGGGGUCGAUGACGGUACCGGAAGAAUAAGGACCGGCUAACUACGUGCCAGCAGCCGCGGUAAUACGUAGGGUCCAGGCGUUAAUCGGAAUUACUGGGCGUAAAGCGUGCGCAGGCGGUUGUGCAAGACCGAUGUGAAAUCCCCGAGCUUAACUUGGGAAUUGCAUUGGUGACUGCACGGCUAGAGUGUGUCAGAGGGGGGUAGAAUUCCACGUGUAGCAGUGAAAUGCGUAGAGAUGUGGAGGAAUACCGAUGGCGAAGGCAGCCCCCUGGGAUAACACUGACGCUCAUGCACGAAAGCGUGGGGAGCAAACAGGAUUAGAUACCCUGGUAGUCCACGCCCUAAACGAUGUCAACUAGUUGUUGGGGAUUCAUUUCCUUAGUAACGUAGCUAACGCGUGAAGUUGACCGCCUGGGGAGUACGGUCGCAAGAUUAAAACUCAA
rnacentral:rRNA from 1 species